rnacentral:rRNA from 1 species
UACGUAGGGUGCGAGCGUUGCCCGGAUUUAUUGGGCGUAAAGGGCGCGUAGGCGGUCACGCACGUCCGUUGUGAAAUCGCUCGGCUCAACUGGGCGGGGUCAGCGGAUACGGCGUGGCUGGAGCAAGCUAGGGGGCAAUGGAAUUCCCGGUGUAGUGGUGGAAUGCGUAGAUAUCGGGAGGAACACCAGUGGCGAAGGCGGUUGCCUGGAGCUUUGCUGACGCUGAUGCGCGAAAGCGUGGGUAGCAAACGGG